rnacentral:rRNA from 1 species
AUACGUAGGUGGCGAGCGUUGUCCGGAAUUACUGGGUGUAAAGGGCGUGUAGGCGGGGAGGCAAGUCAGAUGUGAAAUCCCGGGGCUCAACCUCGGAUGUGCAUCUGAAACUGUCUUUCUUGAGUGCUGGAGAGGAAAGCGGAAUUCCUAGUGUAGCGGUGAAAUGCGUAGAUAUUAGGAGGAACACCAGUGGCGAAGGCGGCUUUCUGGACAGUAACUGACGCUGAGGCGCGAAAGCGUGGGUAGCGAACAGGAUUAGAUACCCUGGUAGUCCACGCCGUAAACGAUGGAUACUAGGUGUAGGAGGUAUCGACCCCUUCUGUGCCGGAGUUAACACAAUAAGUAUCCCACCUGGGGAGUACGGCCGCAAGGCUGAA